GUUUGAAGGCAAUUUUCUGACAACUUGUUUCAUUUACUAAGAUGAACAAGAGAUGUGUUUGUCAGAAACACAAUGCUCCGCUUUGAAUUUAACCUUGAAGGUCGACCUUGACCUUUCACCACUCAAAAUGUGCAGCUCUAUCAGAUACACAUGCAUGCCAAAUAUCAAGUUGCUAUCAUCAAUAUUGCAAAAGUUAUGACCAAAGUUAAAGUUUUGUGACACAUGCACAUGUGACAGACAGGCCAAAAAUGUGGGGAUGGUUUAAAAUGAUAACAAUUGCAAUAAUAAUUAAACAAGAGAUUUUUAUAGUACUUAGUCAUGAAUAAGCCCAAUGUUGCAUGUCAUGAUCGGAUGUAAGUUGUAAUUAUCAUAGUUAUAAUACAAAUUAAUGAAAUAUGGGCAUAAUUAAGGCAAUUUGUAGGUAGGAUUAAUUAAAAUUGCGCAUGCACAACAGGCAGGUUUGAAUGAUGUAUGUUUACUUGUGCACAACAAGCAGGUUUGAAUGAUGUAUGUUUACUUGUGCACAACAAGCAGGUUUGAAUGAAGUAUGUUUACUUGUGCACAAAAGGCAGGUUUGAAUGAUGUAUGUUUACUUGUGUAUGAAUUUUUUGUUGUAAAAGUUAUGUUUAAGGAGAGAAAGAUGGUCAGAGCUGGAGAAUCAAUUAUGUCACCUUAUUCAUUGUGGGGGUGUAAUAAAAAAGAUGCAGAUACUAUGCAGUAUCAUCACUUGCAGAAGAUUACACAAAUCAAGACUUGAAUAAUUGUAUGAUAUUCAAAAUCACAGAAAACAUGCACAAUGUAUGAUCAUAAAGAAAUUACAACUUGGGUUGUAUAGAGAAAUAACAAUAAUAAUGCAAUUUAAAAUAAAUAUACAGUCUUUUGAAAUAACAAUGAACUUGCUUUUACAUAGGCAAAAUGAAACAUGUAAUGCAUUUACUUAUUAAAAAAAAGAUUAGAUUGGAAUGGGCCCAUG